CAGUAGCCGCGGGAAUACGUAGGUGGCAAGCGUUGUCCGGAAUUAUUGGGCGUAUAGGGCUCGCAGGCGGUUUCUUAAGUCUGAUGUGAAAGCCCCCGGCUCAACCGGGGAGGGUCAUUGGAAACUGGGAAACUUGAGUGCAGAAGAGGAGAGUGGAAUUCCACGUGUAGCGGUGAAAUGCGUAGAGAUGUGGAGGAACACCAGUGGCGAAGGCGACUCUCUGGUCUGUAACUGACGCUGAGGAGCGAAAGCGUGGGGAGCGAACAGGAUUAGAGACCCCGGUAGUCCCUGUCUCUUAUAU
rnacentral:rRNA from 1 species